AUGUGACUUUGGGCAAAUCACUUCACCUCUCUGUGCCUGUUUCCCCUCACACCCCUUGUCUAUUUAGCCUUUAAGCUCUUAUUAUCACUAUGUUUGCACAGCACCUAGCACAGUGGGAGCGCCAUCUCUGUUGAGGCCAUUGGGUGCUACCGUAAUAUAGAUAAUAGCAGCAACGGCAGAAUUUAAUCAGCAAACGUUGCCACAUUAAGACUUAUUUAUUAUCUGCAAACCAGCAAGGGGCAGAACCAGAAGUGAAACUGAAAUUCAACAGAACAGUGGUAUCAACUAAAUAAAGUUAUGCCCCUCCAUAAGUCAAGACAAACGGAAAAACAGGAAGAUGCUUCAAGAUCACCACUCCAAAGCAAAAGAACUGCUCUCAAAUCCAACUAACAUUUUUCUAGUCACUUCAGCCACCAUUUUUAAAGGGAACGCUGCAGUUCUGAUCUCCGUCAGCAAAGCAACAUGGCUGCCUCCCACAGCACCAUUUCACAUUCAGCCGCUCUGCACACAUUUCAAGAUCCCUUAAGGUAACAACAACUCUUACGUCCAUUGUCCUUCCGCGGGGUUCCAUUGGCCGAGAUGCUCCAAUGAAGGAAAGCGAUUGGAGAAAAGCGGUCGAGUGGUGGAGGCAGCACGCAUAGACUAACACGGCUGUUCCUCUGAAACCUGUUAAAACAUACGUCAGUCGCUAAAAACCAACGGUUACAGCCAGACAAAGCCA